AGAACGAACGCUGGCGGCAGGCCUAACACAUGCAAGUCGAACGCGACCUUCGGGUCGAGUGGCGCACGGGUGAGUAACGCGUGGGAAUCUGCCCUGUGGUACGGAAUAACAUCGGGAAACUGAUGCUAAUACCGUAUAUCCCCUGAGGGGGAAAGAUUUAUCGCCAUGGGAGGAGCCCGCGUAGGAUUAGCUAGUUGGUGAGGUAACGGCUCACCAAGGCGACGAUCCUUAGCUGGUCUGAGAGGAUGAUCAGCCACACUGGGACUGAGAUACGGCCCAGACUCCUACGGGAGGCAGCAGUGGGGAAUAUUGGACAAUGGGGGAAACCCUGAUCCAGCCAUGCCGCGUGUGUGAUGAAGGCCUUCGGGUUGUAAAGCACUUUCGCACGUGACGAUGAUGACGGUAACGUGAGAAGAAGCCCCGGCUAACUUCGUGCCAGCAGCCGC
rnacentral:rRNA from 1 species